rnacentral:rRNA from 1 species
AAACUGGGUCUAAUACCGGAUAGGAGCGUCCACCGCAUGGUGGGUGUUGGAAAGAUUUAUCGGUUUUGGAUGGACUCGCGGCCUAUCAGCUUGUUGGUGAGGUAAUGGCUCACCAAGGCGACGACGGGUAGCCGGCCUGAGAGGGUGACCGGCCACACUGGGACUGAGACACGGCCCAGACUCCUACGGGAGGCAGCAGUGGGGAAUAUUGCACAAUGGGCGCAAGCCUGAUGCAGCGACGCCGCGUGAGGGAUGACGGCCUUCGGGUUGUAAACCUCUUUCAGUAGGGAAGAAGCGAAAGUGACGGUACCUGCAGAAGAAGCACCGGCUAACUACGUGCCAGCAGCCGCGGUAAUACGUAGGGUGCGAGCGUUAUCCGGAAUUAUUGGGCGUAAAGAGCUCGUAGGCGGUUUGUCGCGUCUGUCGUGAAAGUCCGGGGCUUAACCCCGGAUCUGCGGUGGGUACGGGCAGACUAGAGUGCAGUAGGGGAGACUGGAAUUCCUGGUGUAGCGGUGGAAUGCGCAGAUAUCAGGAGGAACACCGAUGGCGAAGGCAGGUCUCUGGGCUGUAACUGACGCUGAGGAGCGAAAGCAUGGGGAGCGAACAGGAUUAGAUACCCUGGUAGUCCAUGCCGUAAACGUUGGGCACUAGGUGUGGGGACCAUUCCACGGUUUCCGCGCCGCAGCUAACGCAUUAAGUGCCCCGCCUGGGGAGUACGGCCGCAAGGCUAAAACUCAAAGGAAUUGACGGGGGCCCCGCACAAGCGGCGGAGCAUGCGGAUUAAUUC